UACGUAGGGACCAAGCGUUGUUCGGAUUUACUGGGCGUAAAGGGCGCGUAGGCGGCUUGACAAGUCACUUGUGAAAUCUCCGGGCUUAACUCGGAACGGCCAAGUGAAACUGUCAUGCUAGAGUGCAGAAGGGGCAAUCGGAAUUCCUGGUGUAGCGGUGAAAUGCGCAGAUAUCAGGAGGAACACCGGUGGCGAAGGCGGGACUCUGGGCCGAUACUGACGCUGAGGAGCGAAAGCGUGGGGAGCAAACAGG
rnacentral:rRNA from 1 species